UGAAGGCGAUCUGGCUGUGACAUCUGUCACCUCACUGAUGGCCAGGGUUGAUUAGGCAGAUCUGGCUGGCUGGCGGGUGUCCCCUUCCUCCUUCA
rnacentral:sRNA from 1 species